UUGGUCAGAGCAACUGACCCUGCCCACACCUGUGUUGCAGCAGAACACAUUAUGCACAAGGCUGGGUAGCUACAGAGAUGCCUCUGUAUGGACCCACCCUCUUGGCCCUGUCAACAAACUUCUUUGGUUCUGCCAGGGAGCCCUUUCUACACCCAUUUGGAACAAACGUAGCCCAGGAUUACUGUCACAGAGGAGAUAAAUCACUCAGGGCUUAUACAGGAAUGUGAGAUCUGCUUUCCAAAGGCCACUUGAUACCCAGUUGAAUUGCAAAGUGUGAGGCAGAAGAAACCACCACUGCUUUGUUCUGCAGUUAUACAAGUUGGCAAGUGGGUUCUUCACAAGACCCCGGUAUAAAUUAGAAGACCUACGCAGUUAACAGGGAAUCUUCCUUUAUAUCACUGGUCAGGAGCAUCUCAGCUUUCCAGUGCUCUGCAUGGACUGCGGGACCGGCCAGGAGCAGCUGGAGCUGUGAAGGGCAGCUCCGUGACUCACUCGCACUGUUAAGCCAGACAAGUUUGUAACAUCAAUGCUGUUGUGACCAAUAUUAUAGUCCAAAGAGGGCCUGAAAGCUCUCAGGUAUGAGUAGCACAAACCCAUUCUCAGAAGAGGGAGAGCCAGAGCAACUUGCUUUACCAUUGUGCUUUCUGGAACGAUAGCAGAUUUGGUUAUGAUUUGUUUACAGGAUCAGUAAAACCAUUUCUAACAGUGAUUCCAAGGUAUUUUUGGUCAUAGCGGCUAUUAACAUUGGACUGAUCUCUGGCUUUUCUGGUGGAAAGCUGUGCCUGGGAAGCCCCACACAGGGAAGCUCUGUGAACAGCUGGCUCAGGAAAGUGCACAGGACCAAGCAUAUGCAGAGCUUUUCUAAACUAUGAUUCUGUUUAAAGCCUUUGUGGUUUUGAGAUAAGAUAUCAAGGAAACAGAAUAAAAGCAACUACUCACCAAAAGACUGAGUUGUAUCUGAAUAUCACUUGUGUGCGCAGCUGCCCUCCCCAAAGGACCCACGAGUGCCUGGGGCUGCCUCUGCCAUCCACUUUGCAAGGUGCUCAUGGGCAAUGGAGUUCAUACAGCUUCUGCAAUAUCUCCUGGCCUGAACCUGAUGGCAUGAGGAUCUGAUUCUCCAGUACUCUGAGACACACCAGACGCACUGGGAUGUGUCUACUAUUGAUUUUUUGUGGCAGCAUCAGCUGGGAGCGUCAGCCUAUGGAGACUUUUACUUGAUUCAGUAAAUCAACACAUUUCCCAAAAUGAAGGUGGUAGGUGGCUGCUUACUUUGUUUUGUUCCAUUUCAUCUCAUUUCACUUGAGCUCACGGUGCCUUACAUAGCCAUGGGUUUCAUGGAAUAGGAUAGAAGCAUUAAAGUUAGAAAAGACCAAUAAAAUCACCAAGUCCAAAAAUCAGUCCCCCCUC